UGCUGCUGUGCCUGAGCUGCUUGUCCGCCGUCUUCCUGGUGCUGCUGGUACUGGCGAUAGUGUACGCCCUGGUGCCUGAGUCUCUGGCGCAGCAGUCACUGACGGCCGCGCGCCGCUGCGGAGACAUCCCCACCUGGGGGGAGACCAGCCUCAAGGAUCAUUAUCAGCUGUGCACGCAAAAUAUGUGCUCCUUGGCUGCGUGUGGUCCCAUCAACGAGAGCGUGUGUCACGUGAAACCACCCGUCUUCGAAGACAAGUGCAAGUGCUGCGAUUGGUGCCUCCUUCGAACCGCCACUUGCAAGCACCGGGAGGAGAGGGAGAGUGGCGACGACAAGUCCGUGGGCCGGUACUUUGCCUGCCAGCGUCCCUGCUAUCCCUUGCGGCCUCCCAAGUAGCACUAUUGAGAUGACCGGCCGAUCUACGCGGGCAUGAAUCGCUGGAUCAUCAUAGCAAUGUUCAAGUUUUCAUAAUACAACUUCGAAGACGUAUUCACUUUCCUUGUAGUGGAAGUUCUAAAAUUUUCCGUCCUAUUAUUAUUAUUAAUAUUUUGCCCCAUGCUUUCCCAAGUGCCACAAGUAAACGCGAAACUGCAUCAUUAUCUGAUAUAAAAUACAUUUCAUACAUUAUAAUAAUGAGCUUUAAUAACACCGCAA